AAUCAACGCUGGCGGCGCGCCUCAGACAUGCAAGUCGAACGCGAAAGUCCCCCUCGGGGGACGAAGUAGAGUGGCGCACGGGUGAGUAACACGUAGGUAAUCUACCUUCGGGUCGGGGAAUAACAAUCGGAAACGGUUGCUAAUACCGCAUAAUGCAGCGGCACCUAAUGGUGACAGUUGUUAAAGCGGGGGAGUCGCAAGAUCUCGCGCCUGAAGAGGAGCCUGCGGCGGAUUAGCUAGUUGGUAGGGUAAUGGCCUACCAAGGCGACGAUCCGUAGCCGGCCUGAGAGGGCGGUCGGCCACACUGACACUGACAUACGGGUCAGACUCCUACGGGAGGCAGCAGUCGGGAA
rnacentral:rRNA from 1 species